AGGAAACAGCUGUGUGGGGAUCAGCUGCCUGCCAGGUUAAACCACAACACCACUGAAGAUGGAGCGUGGCAGUGAGCAUCAAAGGAGCAACCAUUCCAGUGGCCAGAGUUGUAGGCCUGGAGAACUGCCCAUGCACGAGCAAGUCCGCAGACACAGCAGCAAGCCUGCAGGCUGCAUGAGAGACUGCAUGGCAGGAGAGGGACAGAUUCCCAGCCUUCCACCAUCCCAGCCAAACCAGAGCACCUAACUAAGUCUCAAUAUCUGCUCAGACCAAUCUGACCAAUUCGGAGGUGCAGACCAUAUCUGAAUGAGAAGUGGAGCCUUAAUGAGGUGCCUGAAAGGAAGGAACCAGCUAGAAGACAUUAUGACCUGGACCACUUUCAUCUUUGCUGCUGGAAAAUACUUCAACUACUGUCCCGUGGAAUCAGCACAGGGAUUGCCUAGUUCUUCAUACAAAUAAAAGAGUCUGACAGUUAGAGACAUGGAAAUGUUCAUACGUGGGGGACACUGAAGCCAAGAUCAUUGUGACUGCUGAAGCUUUGACCUAAAGCCUCACAGGCUCUGGUCACACACACUGCAAUGAUUUGCAGGCUGUAGCUUUCCUUGCCUGCCUAUUCCACACACCUUCUUCCACCAGGUUCCACUGGUCAUUCUGUCACCAAUAUGUCCAGAAAGUUCUCAAAGUGAAUUUUCUAGAAGUGUAGUGAGAUGAAGAAACUACCUAAUCAGCUUCAACCACAAACUAUCCACAGCCUCAAUCAUAGCAGCUUCUAUCAACACUGGGGAUUCUGAAGCAGCCAGGAACAGUUACUGCAGCUCAGCUGAUGUGCUGUACCUCAGCACAGUGACCUGAGUGGGGGCCCAUACCUUGCCAUCACAUCACAGAGGGUGUAAAUCAGGAUGAUGGAGCAAUCCUCACAUCAUCAGCAUUGCACCAGCAGCUGAAAAUCCAGCCUCCAUCCUGCAGAUCUGGACCCGAAUCUCCAGUCCUACAAACAUCCCCAGGCUGCUAACCUCCCUGGGCAGAGUGACUGCAGGGGACUUGAGCAGAAGCUUCUGCUUCAGAUCCCUCAGACUGUGCAAACACAACCCACAUGAAAUAAGGAUGGGUACGACCAUCAUCCAUCUCCAAACUACAUAAAUAUCACCAGUGGUUCAUGAAACAGCAAAUCCUGGAGCCAGACAUCCUGGGAAGUGCUGUCUCUCAGUUCUAAUAGUUGUCACGAUAUUUGACCAAAUAACUUUUUACUAAAGUAAGUAAAGCACAUAGUGCUCUGUGCUGCAGGCAGAGAGGGAAGGUGAAUAGCAUCCCUCUGCUCCUCUGGCUUUUGCUGCUGGCUAAUUAUUCAUUUGCAGUUUAUCAGCUAAUUACAGCUAUGUGCCUCGGCAUUUGAAGACUUAGGGGCAUACUUUAUUUAACAGUUAGUAAUUACCCAGACCUCCUCUGCUCCCUGUGCAGAAGGUGUUUCUGUUUCUGUCCUUGUGCUGUCGGCUCUAGAGGUUAAAGACCCCCAGACAGAUGGUUACACUGUUGCACAUAGAAGGCAGGCUUAUACUUCAUGUGAUGAUAGAGGUUUCCCAAAUAAUUAUCUGUUAAUGCAACAAAUCAUGUCCUUCAGAGCUCAGUGCUGAUCUCUGUCUGUUCCCAGUAUCUGUGACAGCAGCUUUUGUUUCCAUGUCCAGGUUAAAGAUCACAAAGGGUGCACAAGGUCAUAUGAAGACCAAUUCACUAUUAAUUUUUCCCUGGGAACAGUCCGACAUACAAGCCUUGCACUUCAUCUCAACACCUACACAAUCCACUGCUGCAGACUCACAGUCUGCCUUGGCAUGCAGCACCACCAGGAUGUCCCUGUGAGACAGGGCACGAGCCUCAAAAUACAUGGAAGACACACACAGAUAUGGCAGGAUGCAAAGAACUCUUUGUAGCUUGGCACAGAUGGUUGAAUAGCACAGCUGGAGGGAAUGAGACUUCAGGCAGGAGCGCUGCCAGAGAUGGGAUAUAUUGAGAGCAGCUACAGUUGUGGAGAACAGGUUUUGAAUUUGUUGCCAUCAGUGUUCGCAAAGGAAACCUCGGCCUUAGGAUUAUGCUCAGAUAAUUGAGUAAGAGACUUAACUCUGGCUCAUUUCAUUGUGGGAAGAGAUGAGGUGGAUUAUCAAGUAGCAUGGAAGCAGCAAUCAUAAAUUAGGGUUCUUUAAACUGCAAAAUAGACAUCAUUGUCCUGGAAGUUUUUCGAGCCCUGUCACUAAUUUCUCCAACCUAAGGCCACUUUAUUUCUGAAUGAGGUCAUUCACAUGAGCUUUGCUCAUUUAUUUAUUAAUUUAUUCGAUUAGUUGAAAACCUGUACCUUGCAUGACUUUACUUCUGUAGAAAAAAUAUGGCACAGCUAUUUAUUACUAAGGAACUUUAAAGUUUCCAGCCUCCAGACACUAGAAAAAGGUAUUUACAUAUGUCUUUAACAAGAGGUAACUUCAGAGAUUGUGAUAUUCAGAACAAACACUUGCAUCUCUAACGCCUCUUCAGAGUUAGGCUACUGAACACCUCUGAUUUUGGCAAUGGAUUAACUCUAGAGCAAAGUAGAACUUGAACCUACCACUCCUAUCCCAGCUGGUAGUCAAACCAUUCACCCAUCUGUGAUCUGAACUAGCUGAAUCAAUCAACCUACAUGAAAGGCAAAUGAUCUGUUAAGCUUCUUGUAAUGAAGUCAUUUCUUUCUCACUUUAGGCAAACAACCUCUUGGAAACCAUCCUAAGUCAGCAAGACUACAGCAGCAUCUAAUGUAAUGAGUCAAUACUUACAGUUUUGGAAUUAAAAAAAAAAAAAAAGCUUUCAAAAGUAAUGUGAUCAAGCUAAUAGGUCCCGUGAUGGUGGAUAGCACUUAUGGAUAUAUCAAAUACUGCAAAAGGUUUAAGGUCCAAUAAAAAUUAUUGUUCUGCA